rnacentral:tRNA from 1 species
CAACACCUGCAGCAAGAAUUCCUGGAGUAUCUCCACCGGGUAUUGUAUGCACGAUACAAUGGGUGGGUGUUGG